rnacentral:rRNA from 1 species
GAUGAACGCUGGCGGCGUGCCUAAUACAUGCAAGUCGAGCGAACAGACGAGGAGCUUGCUCCUCUGACGUUAGCGGCGGACGGGUGAGUAACACGUGGAUAACCUACCUAUAAGACUGGGAUAACUUCGGGAAACCGGAGCUAAUACCGGAUAAUAUAUUUAACCGCAUGGUUCAAUAGUGAAAGACGGUUUUGCUGUCACUUAUAGAUGGAUCCGCGCCGCAUUAGCUAGUUGGUAAGGUAACGGCUUACCAAGGCAACGAUGCGUAGCCGACCUGAGAGGGUGAUCGGCCACACUGGAACUGAGACACGGUCCAGACUCCUACGGGAGGCAGCAGUAGGGAAUCUUCCGCAAUGGGCGAAAGCCCGACGGAGCAACGCCGCGUGAGUGAUGAAGGUCUUCGGAUCGUAAAACUCUGUUAUUAGGGAAGAACAAAUGUGUAAGUAACUAUGCACGUAUUGACGGUACCUAAUCAGAAAGCCACGGCUAACUACGUG